rnacentral:rRNA from 1 species
CCUACGGGAGGCAGCAGUGGGGAAUAUUGGGCAAUGGGGGAAACCCUGACCCAGCGACGCCGCGUGGAGGAAGGAGCCCUUCGGGGUGUAAACUCCUGUUGUAAGGGAAGAAGACAGUGACGGUACCUUACGAGGAAGCCCCGGCAAACUACGUGCCAGCAGCCGCGGUAACACGUAGGGGGCGAGCGUUGUCCGGAAUCACUGGGCGUAAAGCGCACGCAGGCGGAUGCGCGCGUCGGCUGUGAAAUGCACCGGCUCAACCGGUGCACUGCGGUCGAUACGGCGCAUCUGGAGUGCGGGAGAGGGAAGCGGAAUUCCCGGUGUAGCGGUGAAAUGCGUAGAUAUCGGGAGGAACGCCGGUGGCGAAGGCGGCUUCCUGGCCCGCAACUGACGCUCAUGUGCGAAAGCCAGGGGAGCGAACC